rfam:Gossypium raimondii Chr04_contig_702, whole genome shotgun sequence.
AAUCUAUGUUGCGAGUAUUUUUGAAUCAACAUUUUGAAACGUUGCUAUGCCUCAUAAAAACUUUCUCCCUCAAUCUAUCUAAACACAUCAAUCUCUUUUCUUAGUUG